GAUGAACGCUGGCGGCGUGCCUAAUACAUGCAAGUCGAGCGAACAGACGAGGAGCUUGCUCCUCUGACGUUAGCGGCGGACGGGUGAGUAACACGUGGAUAACCUACCUAUAAGACUGGGAUAACUUCGGGAAACCGGAGCUAAUACCGGAUAAUAUAUUGAACCGCAUGGUUCAAUAGUGAAAGACGGUUUUGCUGUCACUUAUAGAUGGAUCCGCGCCGCAUUAGCUAGUUGGUAAGGUAACGGCUUACCAAGGCGACGAUGCGUAGCCGACCUGAGAGGGUGAUCGGCCACACGGGAACUGAGACACGGUCCAGACUCCUACGGGAGGCAGCAGUAGGGAAUCUUCCGCAAAGGGCGAAAGCCUGACGGAGCAACGCCGCGUGAGUGAUGAAGGUCUUCGGAUCGUAAAACUCUGUUAUUAGGGAAGAACAAAUGUGUAAGUAACUAUGCACGUCUUGACGGUACCUAAUCAGAAAGCCACGGCUAACUACGUG
rnacentral:rRNA from 1 species